AGUGAACGCUGGCGGUAGGCCUAACACAUGCAAGUCGAACGGCAGCACAGUAAGCGCUUGCUCUUACGGGUGGCGAGUAGCGGACGGGUGAGGAAUACAUCGGAAUCUACUUUUUCGUGGGGGAUAACGUAGGGAAACUUACGCUAAUACCGCAUACGACCUACGGGUGAAAGCAGGGGAUCUUCGUACCUUGCGCGAUUGAAUGAGCCGAGGUCGGAUUAGCUAGUUGGCGGGGUAAAGGCCCACCAAGGCGACGAUCCGUAGCUGGUCUGAGAGGAUGAUGGGCCACACUGGAACUGAGACACGGUCCAGACUCCUACGGGAGGCAGCGGUGGGGAAUAUUGGACAAUGGGCGAAAGCCUGAUCCAGCAAUACCGCGUGGGUGAAGAAGGCCUUCGGGUUGUAAAGCCCUUUUGUUGGGAAAGAAGAGCAGCAGGUUAAUACCCCGCUGUUCUGACGGUACCCAAAGAAUAAGCACCGGCUAACUUCGUG
rnacentral:rRNA from 1 species